AACGAACGCUGGCGGCAUGCCUAACACAUGCAAGUCGAACGAGAUCUUCGGGUCUAGUGGCGCACGGGUGCGUAACGCGUGGGAAUCUGCCCUUUGGUUCGGAAUAACAGUUGGAAACGACUGCUAAUACCGGAUGAUGACGAAAGUCCAAAGAUUUAUCGCCAGAGGAUGAGCCCGCGUAGGAUUAGCUAGUUGGUGUGAUAAAGGCGUACCAAGGCGACGAUCCUUAGCUGGUCUGAGAGGAUGAUCAGCCACACUGGGACUGAGACUCGGCCCAGACUCCUACGGGAGGCAGCAGUGGGGAAUAUUGGACAAUGGGCGAAAGCCUGAUCCAGCAAUGCCGCGUGAGUGAUGAAGGCCUUAGGGUUGUAAAGCUCUUUUACCCGGGAUGAUAAUGACAGUACCGGGAGAAUAAGCUCCGGCUAACUCCGUGCCAGCCGCCGCCGUAA
rnacentral:rRNA from 1 species